GACGAACGCUGGCGGCGUGCUUAACACAUGCAAGUCGAGCGAUGAAGUUUCUUCGGAAAUGGAUUAGCGGCGAACGGGUGAGGAACACGUGAAGAAUCUGCCCUCCACUUUGGGAUAACACCGGGAAACCGGUGCUAAUACCGAAUAUUGAAACAUAAGUGGCAUCACUGAGUUUUGAAGGAAUUUCGGUGGAGGAUGACUUCGCGGCCUAUCAGCUAGUUGGUGAGGUAAUGGCUCACCAAGGCAACGACGGGUAGCCGGCCUGAGAGGGCGACCGGCCACACUGGGACUGAGACACGGCCCAGACUCCUACGGGAGGCAGCAGUGGGGAAUAUUGGGCAAUGGAGGAAACUCUGACCCAGCGACGCCGCGUGCGGGAUGAAGGCCUUCGGGUUGUAAACCGCUUUCAGUAGGGAAGAAGCGAAAGUGACGGUACCUACAAAAGAAGCACCGGCUAACUAUGUGCCAGCAGCCGCGGUAAUACAUAGGGUGCAAGCGUUGUCCGGAAUUAUUGGGCGUAAAGAGCUCGUAGGUCGUUUGUUACGUCGGAUGUGAAAACCUGAGGCUCAACCUCAGGCCUGCAUUCGAUACGGGCAAACUAGAGUUUGGUAGGGGAGACUGGAAUUCCUGGUGUAGCGGUGGAAUGCGCAGAUAUCAGGAGGAACACCAAUGGCGAAGGCAGGUCUCUGGGCCAAUACUGACACUGAGGAGCGAAAGUCUGGGGAGCAAACAGGAUUAGAUACCCUGGUAGUCCAGACCGUAAACGGUGGGCACUAGUUGUGGGAACCUUCCACGGUUUCUGCGACGCAGCUAACGCAUUAAGUGCCCCGCCUGGGGAGUACGAUCGCAAGAUUA
rnacentral:rRNA from 1 species